UACAGAGGGUGCGAGCGUUGUUCGGAAUUAUUGGGCGUAAAGCGCGAGUAGGCGGCUUGUUAAGUCGCGUGUGAAAGCUCCCGGCUCAACCGGGAAAGUGCGCGCGAAACUGGCGAGCUUGAGUGCUGGAGAGGGUGGCGGAAUUCCCGGUGUAGAGGUGAAAUUCGUAGAUAUCGGGAGGAACACCAGAGGCGAAGGCGGCCACCUGGAAAGACACUGACGCUGAGAAGCGAAAGCGUGGGGAGCAAACAGG
rnacentral:rRNA from 1 species